CACGUAGGGCGCGAGCGUUGUCCGGAAUUAUUGGGCGUAAAGAGCUCGUAGGCGGCCUGUUGCGUCCGCUGUGAAAGCCCGGGGCUUAACCCCGGGUCGGCAGUGGAUACGGGCAGGCUAGAGGUAGGUAGGGGAGAAUGGAAUUCCUGGUGUAGCGGUGGAAUGCGCAGAUAUCAGGAGGAACACCGGUGGCGAAGGCGGGUCUCUGGGCAGUAACUGACGCUGAGGAGCGAAAGCGUGGGGAGCGAACAGG
rnacentral:rRNA from 1 species